UCCCACAUAUGAUUGCAUUUCUUCUCUACUAUAUAAACCCCAAUUUCACUAGGUCAGGGAUAUGGAUUUGAGACUGAUCUCCCAUCUCCUCAGCUGCAGCACCCAAUUAAAGCCUUCUCCUCUGGCAACACUCAUUGUCUCAGUGAUUGGCUUCCUGUGAUGCAAGCAGCAGGACAUAGACCAAACCACUGGUGUUUCAGUGACACUGUCAGCUUGGUGAGACUAUCUCAGAAAUGCACUGUAGUCUGAAGCCCUUCCUACCCUCACCUUCCUUUUUCUCCUCCUUUCACAGAGACAACACAUGCAUCACAGUCUAAAGGCUCUUUUCUCUCACCUCCCCCACCUCUUAUGCUCCAUGGCAUUUCCCCAAUAAAUCUCUUGCAUAUCAACCCUAUCUUGGACAGACUUCUUGAAGAUCUGAAAUAGCAUGAGCUUUAUAUCCAAAAAUUACAGAUGGCCACUAAAUCUUUGAUUCUACUAACUAUAGAUUAUAUGGAAAAGUUGAAAGAAAUUUGCCAAAAUGUCUGGGAAAAGUUAAAAAAGUAUAUCAUGUAUCUUCUCAUUGUAAGAUACAUGAUUCUCUGCUUCCUGAUUCUUCUCAUCUUCUCAUUGUAAGAUACAUGAUAUACAAAUCUUUCAAAGCAUGUAAGAUUUAAAUGACUCUUUUUCAACAGGGUUCCUAGACUGAUACAUGAAGAGAAAUGCAGAAGACACUGUAUUUUCUCAAGGGCAUUCUCUGAUAGCCAGAAGGACUCCAUGGCAACACUCAAGUAUCACCUGCAACCACAGGGCAAAAUAUGCUGAAAAUGUAGCCCAGGAUUGCGUUCCAAGGGUGAAGGUUCUAUGAAGACUGAAUGUAUAAGUAACUGAGAGGCAUCCUUUGCUAAAGCAACAAUAGAAGAUGGAGACCAGGCCAGAAGACCUGGGAGAUUUCAUUAUUCAGAGGCAACUCUUGGAGCCCUUCUGACACCAUAGGAACAAUCGCAGCCUCGCCCGGGGUUGGUGAGAGACACAUGGAGCCUCGAGCAGCCAGCCCAGGUGAGGCCCCCUUGAGCAACCAAUCCUGAGCUGCUCUGGAAGCCAACUAGACAGAGGAACAUGAACGAGCAUAUACCAGGCCAGCCAAAGAACCACCCAGUGGUUACAGAAUUGUGAGCUAUUAACAAAUUUUAGGUGUUUUGAAACUCUAAGUUUUGAGGUGAUUUAUUAGGCAGGAAAAGGUGAUACACAGGCAAAAGGUGAAAGAGUUAUUAUGAAAGUCUUCAAAGGACAGCAGUUUAUUACCUGGUGAUUCUUUUAAUACAUAAGGAAAAAAAUGGGAUGUAGUAUUGAAAUAUUGCCUAAGCUUAAAACAAGUAACUUUUCCACCAUCAAUACUUAACCAAGAAGCCCAGCACACUUACUGAAUUCUGAGCAUAGCCACCCUGGUAGGGGUCCCACUGAGGAAUCCACACCUGAUACUGCCACUAGAUGGUCAUACUGGGCAGCACUCACUGUGGGCAUCAUGGCCAGCCCAGAGUUUUGUCUCCAGGAUUAGGGGAUCAGGUACAUGUGUAACUUUGGAGAAUUAGUCUUUCUCCUGUCUCGCAACCAUGCCAAUAAGAAUAAAAAUGCAGUAGCUUAUCUCAUACCCACUGUAUUCAUAAAGUUCACGGCAACCGUGUUUUUAUUCUAUUCUAUUCUGACA